UAGGUAAUAGCCAGAAAGUCUACAAAUU
rnacentral:piRNA from 1 species